CCGCCAUGGACGGCGGUGUUUCCAGCCUUGAGAGUUUUAGCCUGUGGCUAAAACUCUAAGAUGAAAAAUGUACAUGGAUGUACAUUUUUCAUCGGU
rnacentral:sRNA from 1 species